UACGUAGGUGGCAAGCGUUGUCCGGAUUUACUGGGCGUAAAGGGCGUGCAGGCGGUUUGUUAAGUGCAGGGUGAAAGCUCCCGGCUCAACUGGGAGAGGUCCUUGCAUACUGGCAAACUCGAGGGAGGCAGAGGAAAGUGGAAUUCCCGGUGUAGUGGUGAUAUGCGUAGAUAUCGGGAGGAACACCAGUGGCGAAGGCGACUUCCUGGCCUGUUCUUGACGCUGAGGCGCGAAAGCUAGGGGAGCAAACGGG
rnacentral:rRNA from 1 species